CACGUAAGGUGCGAGCGUUAUUCGGAAUUAUUGGGCGUAAAGGGCACGCAGGCGGUUAUGCAAGCUUGGUGUGAAAUACUGGGGCUUAACCCCAGAACUGCAUUGAGAACUGCAAGACUAGAGUCAGUGAGGGGAAAUCGGAAUUCCAGGUGUAGGGGUGAAAUCUGUAGAUAUCUGGAAGAACACCAAUGGCGAAGGCAGAUUUCCAGCGCAUGACUGACGCUCAGGUGCGAAGGUGCGGGGAUCAAACAGG
rnacentral:rRNA from 1 species